rnacentral:rRNA from 1 species
UACGAAGGGGGCUAGCGUUACUCGGAAUUAUUGGGCGUAAAGCGUGCGUAGGCUGUUUAGUAAGUUGGUAGUGAAAUCCUUGAGCUCAACUCAAGAACUGCUUCCAAUACUGCUAGGCUUGAGUUCUAAAGGGGAUAGCGGAAUUCCUAGUGUAGAGGUGAAAUUCGUAGAUAUUAGGAGGAACACCGGUGGCGAAAGCGGCUAUCUGGGUAGAAACUGACGCUGUUGCACGAAAGCGUGGGGAGCAAACAGG